rnacentral:lncRNA from 1 species
AUGUGCCUCUGGAACCAGCGUGGGGUCUGCGUUGACGUGGCCUCAUGGCUCACUGGAGACCUGUGGCUGGUGUGGGUGAAGGAUGUGCUGGGUGAAGCAACGUGGGAGCUGGUGCAUCCACAAGCAGGGACAGCUCCAUUUCCUUUGUGGCUUUGGAGCUGCUCCCCAGAGGUGACCAUUUCCGCCCAUCAGGGACUGGCAGGAUGCAGAGCAUCACUGGGGACAGGUGCCAAGAGGGGACAUGUCACAACAGCAGCCACAACUUCGGGCUGGUGGGGAGGGGGAAGUGGUGACCCUGGUGAGCUGGCUGGGAGACGGGUGCCGGACACCUGGUGCCACAGCACGUGGGUGUUACCCAACGCACCGCAAUUAAUUUAUAUUAAAUGUAACAAGGCUGUUCUGGCUCCACUUCUGCUCAGACCUGUCUGCGAGGAGGAAAUGCCACGUCUUAGUGGGGAGAGGCUGCAGCUCCCUGGCCCAGUUUCUGCUCGGGUUGCCCAAGCCCUGCCGCUCCCACGCAGCCUGUGCUGUGUGCCAUCCCACUGCAGCUGCUGCUGGGGAGGACACAAACAGAGGUUUUGCCCCCCAGAGCAGCAGGACUUAACCCUGCACAUAAAAUACCAGCCUCCAUUUACUCUGUUUUCCUGUAUCAGCCCCAGCUCAGGUCCCCUCGCUCAGAGCAAAGCUAUUCAGCGCAUCAGCACCGCGGGCUCCCAGUGUCACCCCACAGCCUCCCGCGGUCCCCAAACCCUCCCUAUCUCAGCCGGGCUGUGUUCAAACCCGACGGCGGCCCGCAGUCCCGUGCCUUUGCCCGAGCUCAGCCCGCGGUGUGGCUCCAGCACCACCCAGCGCCCACGCCGCGCACGGCCCCGCUCUACGCGCGCCUGGAGGGGCGAAAUGUCCCAAAUCCCGCAGGAACGGGCGCGCCCCGAGGGCAGCAUCCCCCGCGCAGGGCCGCACGGGGCCGGAGCAUCUCCCGUCGGGUGUCCCCGCGGCCGUCCCCGCCGCCUCGCGAUGCUCGCGGUGCCCCCGGUUGCCGAGGGGCUUUGGCCGGGUGCGGGGCGCUCAACCCCGCCGGGCACUCCCCGCAGGACUGCGGGGAACAACGGGGCACGGCCAUUCCCACCGCCCUCUGUCCCCGUCUCCCCCCUGGAGCUGCGGGACCCCCCCGGCUCUUCUCCCCCCGCCCGUCCCGCACUGCUUCGGCUCCGACGGACGGCCCCGGCGCAACGAUUCGCGUUUGGGUCGCGCUCAGUUUCCCUCUCCCCGCCUCCCCCCGUCACCGGGAGCCCUCCCGGGCGGUGCUGGCGGUCCCACCGCCCCCGUCCCGCCCCGACGGGGUGGGAGCGGGCGGCCUCGGCCCGGCUCCCCGCACCUGCGGCGUUUCGCUAA